GAUGAACGCUGGCGGCGUGCCUAAUACAUGCCAGUCGAGCGAACGGACGAGAAGCUUGCUUCUCUGAUGUUAGCGGCGGACGGGUGAGUAACACGUGGAUAACCUACCUAUAAGACUGGGAUAACUUCGGGAAACCGGAGCUAAUACCGGAUAAUAUUUUGAACCGCAUGGUUCAAAAGUGAAAGACGGUCUUGCUGCCACUUAUAGAUGGAUCCGCGCUGCAUUAGCUAGUUGGUAAGGUAACGGCUUACCAAGGCAACGAUGCAUAGCCGACCUGAGAGGGUGAUCGGCCACACUGGAACUGAGACACGGUCCAGACUCCUACGGGAGGCAGCAGUAGGGAAUCUUCCGCAAUGGGCGAAAGCCUGACGGAGCAACGCCGCGUGAGUGAUGAAGGUCUUCGGAUCGUAAAACUCUGUUAUUAGGGAAGAACAGAUGUGUAAGUAACUGUGCACAUCUUGACGGUACCUAAUCAGAAAGCCACGGCUAACUACGUG
rnacentral:rRNA from 1 species